rfam:Salmo salar isolate Sally breed double haploid chromosome ssa25, whole genome shotgun sequence.
UGCAUUCACUACUGUAAGUUGCUCUGGAUAAGAGUGUCUGCUGAAUGACUAAAU